rnacentral:rRNA from 1 species
CGAGUCUUAACCGGGCGUUAAGUUGCAGGGUAUAGACCCGAAACCCGGUGAUCUAGCCAUGGGCAGGUUGAAGGUUGGGUAACACUAACUGGAGGACCGAACCGACUAAUGUUGAAAAAUUAGCGGAUGACCUGUGGCUGGGGGUGAAAGGCCAAUCAAACCGGGAGAUAGCUGGUUCUCCCCGAAAGCUAUUUAGGUAGCGCCUCGUGAAUUCAUCUCCGGGGGUAGAGCACUGUUUCGGCUAGGGGGCCAUCCCGGCUUACCAACCCGAUGCAAACUGCGAAUACCGGAGAAUGUUAUCACGGGAGACACACGGCGGGUGCUAACGUCCGUCGUGAAGAGGGAAACAACCCAGACCGCCAGCUAAGGUCCCAAAGUCAUGGUUAAGUGGGAAACGAUGUGGGAAGGCCCAGACAGCCAGGAUGUUGGCUUAGAAGCAGCCAUCAUUUAAAGAAAGCGUAAUAGCUCACUGGUCGAGUCGGCCUGCGCGGAAGAUGUAACGGGGCUAAACCAUGCACCGAAGCUGCGGCAGCGAACGUAUCACCCAAGACAACUUUACGG